UCAAAGUGCUUGUGUGUGUUUGUCUAAAUAUGUUCUUUGUCCUACAGGGAGUUUUUGGCACAACACUAUCUGUUGUUCUCUGCUUUCUGUGCGUGUGAUAUACUACUGAUUAAUUUUUAAUACAUAUCAAGGCUCAGUGCUGCAUGGAAAUUCUAUCCUUUAAUUGGGAACUUUUUCUUCCUUAAUUACAGAAGGGACAAAUCAAGCUAUGGUUACAUAGCUGAUCAGAAGGAAGAGCCAGGCUUGACUGCUUCACACCAAGCACUAAACCUUAAAUGAAGGGAAAACAGUUUACGAUCAAGUUCAAGAUAACAGCAUAACGCAAACAAUAAACUAAAACUAAACUAAAACUGUUAGGCUCAAUAAGGAAAAAAAAUGCAGCAUGCUAAAUCCCAUCAGCAGUAUAAAAACUGUAAAAUUCCCACAGUGGCCAAUUAGAUGCUUUGAGAAGACCACAAGAGCGUUUCCUAACAUUCGUGUAUGUUCAUUUGCUAUCAGUAUUCAAAGGCAUAUUGUCUCAGGUGGUGAAUGCUAAUAUGCAGCCAUUAUGAUCUGUGGUGCCCAGGGUAGGGUAUGGUUUAAACCAUCAACUAACUAAAAAGGUAGGGUUCACACAAUACACUAAGCCGCCAUCACUCCUGCCUCCCUAAAAUUAGCCAAGCUUGGCGAGUUUGUUGGGGAAUGCAGGCAUCGGGGCUCGUAGUGUCCUUGUUAAGCAUGUUGUGCAAAUACAGCUGUCCAGCCAUCUGCCCACACUAUAUUCAGCCCAAGGCUAGUGUCUAUAUAGCAAAAGGGUUUAACUGUAUUCCAGACUUCAACCCCUCAUUGGCCAACAAAAACUCAAUAACCACCUUCCAGACAAUGCCCAGCAAGAGUGCCACCAUGCGCUCCAUUCUGCAGCAGCCCAGAAACAGCCUGCAGGCUUGACCUGCUGCUUCUUUCCCUGGCUGACUUGGAUUGAUGUUUCCUUUUGUCCGAGAAUCCACCCCGUGCUGUUCAGUGGACUAGCCUGAUGCAUGGCCACACUGUGUUGCCCUCUUUAAAUAAAAGCAGACCAUCUCCCAUGUCACUUACUUUCUGGCACGAAGCUGCAAGCCAGCCUCCCUCUUCCUGAAAAGUCCCUAGCAUCUGCUGUGGGUCCUUCUUUGUUCAUCAGCUUAAAAUAGAGGAGGCCAACAGAAGUAGCGAGCAGGAGGGAGAAUCUUCCCCAUCACUAACUAUUUCAGAGGCAAACCAGCCUAGGAACCCUUUGUCUGCAGAUCUCUUGGCGGAUUUCUGCAAUCUAAAUGAAUAAAGGAAAGGCACCUUUCGCUUUGUAAUUUCAGUUCUUCCUCUUUGCCUUUGCUGAUUGUAAAGCUGCUUUUCCAAAACCAGCCAGCCUCCUCUCUCGAGCAUCUUUCCACUGCAUUCCACCCAUUCUGAUGACUACACUUGACCUUCAACUCUGUCCUUUGCAUUGUCAGGUUUAUAGCUAAACACGAUAAUGUUUUAUUGCAAAAUGGAGAAGAGGGCAAUGCAGGGUUGUGGUGGUGGUGGUUUUCCAUUUUCCAUACCCCAUCCCAGCAUUACCAUCAUCCCAAGCAUGGCAUUUGUGUUCUUGUGGUUCUUGGUAUAAAUAAAUACCCAAGCAGGAAGACCAAUCUGCGUUCCUCCAGGAAUAAUAAAGAAAAAUAAUAUGCCA